GCCAAUGUAGCUUAGAGGUAGAGCAGCUGUCUCGUAAACAGCAGGUCAGGAGUUCAAAUCUCCUCAUUGGCA
rnacentral:tRNA from 1 species